rfam:Felis catus isolate Cinnamon breed Abyssinian chromosome E1, whole genome shotgun sequence.
GCCUGGGUGGCUCAGUUGGUUGGGCGUCUGACUUCGGCUCAGGUCACAAUCUCGCUGUCUGUGAGUUCGAGCCCCACGUCGGGCU